AUUGAACGCUGGCGGCAUGCCUUACACAUGCAAGUCGAACGGCAGCACGGGUGCUUGCACCUGGUGGCGAGUGGCGAACGGGUGAGUAAUACAUCGGAACGUACCUUAUCGUGGGGGAUAACGCAGCGAAAGCUGUGCUAAUACCGCAUACGCCCUGAGGGCGAAAGCGGGGGAUCGAAAGACCUCGCGCGAUUAGAGCGGCCGAUGCCUGAUUAGCGUGUUGGUGGGGUAAAAGCCCACCAAGGCGACGAUCAGUAGCUGGUCUGAGAGGACGAUCAGCCACACUGGGACUGAGACACGGCCCAGACUCCUACGGGAGGCAGCAGUGGGGAAUUUUGGACAAUGGGGGCAACCCUGAUCCAGCAAUGCCGCGUGAGUGAAGAAGGCCUUCGGGUUGUAAAGCUCUUUUGUCAGGGAAGAAACACCGGCUCUAACACAGUCCGGGAAUGACGGUACCUGAAGAAUAAGCACCGGCUAACUACGUGCCAGCCGCCGCAGUAA
rnacentral:rRNA from 1 species